GCUACAAUGGACAAUACAAAGGGCAGCGAAACCGUGAGGUCAAGCAAAUCCCAUAAAGUUGUUCUCAGUUCGGAUUGUAGUCUGCAACUCGACUACAUGAAGCUGGAAUCGCUAGUAAUCGUAGAUCAGCAUGCUACGGUGAAUACGUUCCCGGGUCUUGUACACACCGCCCGUCACACCACGAGAGUUUGUAACACCCGAAGCCGGUGGAGUAACCUUUUAGGAGCUAGCCGUCGAAGGUGGGACAAAUGAUUGGGGUGAAGUCGUAACAAGGUAGCCGUAUCGGAAGGUGCGGCUGGAUCACCUCCUUU
rnacentral:rRNA from 1 species